UUACGGUCAUAUCACGUUGAAACUCCGGUACUCCUACGAUCACCGAAGUUAAGCAACGUCGAGCCUGGUAAGUACUGAAAUGGGUGAAUGCUUGGGAAUAGCAAGUGCUGUA